GGAUGACAGGACAUGCCUCUAAAAAGCACUGCUGAAAUAUCCACAUAUGGUAUGUUGCACGAUACUUUAUUUGUCCCGGAAGAAUUAAGAUGAUAGAUGAUAGCUGGGGUUUGAACUUGUGCAUCAGGAAGUCCACUUUGAAUAUGAGACAAAACACCCGUAUGUGUUUUGUGAAACUACCAAUGUAAAGAGGAUGUUGUAGAAGAAUGGGUUUCAGUUUUAUCGGAAUAAUGACAUCUCUAUGGGAACAAGGCAAUUGUUUAUAAUCCUGUUUGCAGUCUGUGAAGCCAGUUGAGAAGCCGGGCACAGAUAGGAUUAAAGCUCUGCCUGGAGAGGCAGCGAUUGUGCAGAGGCUGCUGGGGUGCAGAACUGCUCUGGAUCUGUGGCCCAGGGUCAUCUAUAUGACUGCAGGUCUUUGGAGCAGCUGGGAGCAGCGCUGUGCAGACAGGGCAGAGCAGGAGCCCACCCACAGGAGGCCCCGCCACAUCACAAGUGGCUGCUGAGCACCUGUGUGAAUAUAUACAGGUGUGGAGACAGAAACACCCUGCUGAGGCUUGGCUGCAGAGAGAAGGUGCGUUUUGACUGGAACCCAGUGUAAACUGCUUUGGGUCUCAUUUAGUUUCUGUAGGCAAGCCAGAGGGGUGGAGUCUAAGGAAGUGAUAUUCUGUCCUGCACGUCUUGAACAUAAUGACUGAAGAAAGCCAAGUUCUUUGGCUGGCACACCUUUGAAAUCAACACCUUUUUAAAGUCAGGUUUUAGUGGUGAAUGUAGAAACUGGUCCUCUGUUGUUAAAAAUAUUAAUGAAAGGGGUAUUCUUUGAUAUAGAAAUGAAGAAUACAUUUUAUGAUGGCAUGUUUUCUCUCCUCAGACUUAUUUAUUAUUAUUAUUUUUAUUACAGUUCUGUAUCUGUAGUGAUGAAGAGAUGAAAGCAGAGCUGGCUCUCUGGAAAAAAAAUGUUCUGGCUGGGACAAAAGUGAAAGUGCUGACAUACCCCAUGAGCCUCUUCUUGCAAGACUUACCAGAGGUCUCAGGGAAGCCUGAUUUUCUUCUUCACCCCAGCCAAGCUCUGUAGUCAGAGGAACUGUGGAUUGCUUCAGUAAGUGCAGUAACUUUUGAGUCCUUCUCUGGUUUUCUUGUAAACUGUUCAUGAACUGCUCGCCCACUUAUUUUCAAUCUCCUUAACUAUGUGAGUGAAACAAACAAACAAACCUGCAGUUGUCCUAACCAGCACGCUAUGUACAAAAUACUUUGAACACACAGACUAAACCCAAUACUGUGUUAUUAUUCUGGGUAAUAAUUUGUUCUGACAUGAAGUAUUUUGCCUUUGAGCAGCCAUUAGAAAUACAUUUUGUUUGGGGCCUAGGUGCACUUAUUUUGCUUCUAGUGUAGCAGGUGUUUUUCUUAACCAUUUUUUUUUAGGAGAAAUCCUAAGUUUAGAGGAAAUGAGCACUCGAUUAUUUAAAUUUCCUGAGAUUAGAGGAAGAACACUUUGCCAAACAAUGCCUCUUCACUUCAAAACCUCUCCCCAUAAAUUAUGCUAGGAGAUCUUAUUAAAAGUCUGUAAAAAUUUCCUAUUAAAAAUGGUUGAUUGCAGUUCAGACCGUCACAGCUUUUGUGCUUUCAGUGAAAUACCACAGCUGUCGGAAAGAAAUAUAUUGUGAGACAAAAGGUUUUGUUUCCUUAGUCAUAAAUUAUUUUGGUGAUAUCCGAAGUAAGAUAAAACUUUCACUUAUGUUUGAGUGAAGGAAGAUGCCAGUGAUAAGUUGUUCAGAAAUCUAUAAAAAGAAUAUAAGAAUGUAGAUCUAGAUAGCAAAUUAGAAUCAGACUUCCUUUUUGUUUAAGCAAAGCAAUUAUUUCUGAAGUCAGUGAAGAUUAUAACCAAGGAUAAUAGCAUAACUUAGCAAAGCACAGUGCCUUUAUCUCGGUGGAACCUGAAGUUUAAGCAUUUGACUCUGACCUUUGCGAACUAUACAAUAGAAACCCUUUGUGUUUAAACCAAAGUUAA
ensembl:lncRNA